rnacentral:lncRNA from 1 species
CAGAAAUUGUGGACAGAGUCCGGCUCCCGUAGGAGUCCGAGCGGAGUCUUCCUUGCAGCAGAAGUGGUGGACAGAGUCCGGCUCCCGUAGGAGUUCGGGCGAAGUCUUCCUUGCAGCAGAAAUUAUAGACAGAGUCAGUCUCCCGUAGGAGUCCGGACGGAUUCUUCCUUGCAGCAGAAGUGGUGGACGGAGUCCGGCUCCCGUAGGAGUCCGGGCGAAGUCUUCCUUGCAGCAGAAAUUGUGGACGGAGUCCGGCUCCCGUAGGAGUCCGGGCGGAGUCUUCCUUGCAGCAGAAGUGGUGACGGAG